AUGAACGCUGGCGGCGUGCCUAAUACCUGCCAGUCGAGCGAACAGACGAGGAGCUUGCUCCUCUGACGUUAGCGGCGGACGGGUGAGUAACACGUGGAUAACCUACCUAUAAGACUGGGAUAACUUCGGGAAACCGGAGCUAAUACCGGAUAAUAUAUUUAACCGCAUGGUUCAAUAGUGAAAGACGGUUUUGCUGUCACUUAUAGAUGGAUCCGCGCCGCAUUAGCUAGUUGGUAAGGUAACGGCUUACCAAGGCAACGAUGCGUAGCCGACCUGAGAGGGUGAUCGGCCACACUGGAACUGAGACACGGUCCAGACUCCUACGGGAGGCAGCAGUAGGGAAUCUUCCGCAAUGGGCGAAAGCCUGACGGAGCAACGCCGCGUGAGUGAUGAAGGUCUUCGGAUCGUAAAACUCUGUUAUUAGGGAAGAACAAAUGUGUAAGUAACUAUGCACGUCUUGACGGUACCUAAUCAGAAAGCCACGGCUAACUACGUG
rnacentral:rRNA from 1 species